rnacentral:sRNA from 1 species
AUUUAGCCCUGAUUGAAACGAUAGCUUUUUAAAAUAAAUGGAUUGGAAUUGUAGUGAUAACAAAGCGAUUUGAGAAGCUCUUGUUAUUACUUACUAUUGCUUUCAUUUAUGAGAAAACUAAAGUGGAAAGCAGGAAAUGCU